rnacentral:lncRNA from 1 species
AAAAAAUUGAUGCUGAGCAUAACGUCAUGCACUGGUGACCACCGUGCCUGAAGCUAGCUUGUGCUUUCAGUCUUUGCAAAAUAAGCGGUUCAGCCUGGAGGUAUGACACAUGUUUUCUUUAGGUGAGAGCCACAGGGGAGCAGUGAUUGUAUAAUUUUAUCCGGCAUACAUGAGUAGGAUGCAAUAGUGUAAUAUGUACAGGAUGAAACUAGAAAAUUGCAACAUUGAACAGUUACAAUUUUAGUUUAUAUCAAACUGACAAGGCCUCUUAAAACAAGGAAUAAGAAGCACAGAUGCCUUAACGCCCAAGUGCUCAGUUUCUCAGCUGUCCAUAUUUACAUACAGUGUAGCCAACCUGUUGCUGAUGGGAGCGGAUUCAACAUGCUGAUGUAAACUUGCGCAGUGAUUUCUGUGCUUAUGCUUUCUCCUCCACUGGUGAUAAACCCUGAUAACAUCAACACUUGCCAGGUUCAGAAGGGCUUGUCUUAGCUGCAAAGGAAGAAAGACAAAAUGCUUGGAAGCGGUUUAACUCAGCUGCUGCUUCAUUAACUCCCCUGGGAAUAUCCAGUGUCAAAAGAGUUAUUGCGUCUCCUCUUGGCCAUGGACACCUAUUUUGGAGAAGGCUGCCACUAGCUCUUUCAAGGAUGGCUUCGUCUAUAGAAAUGCAGAAGUCCGGCUGAGCUCUGCCUUCUAAAUUUCACAGUAUUUAUCUCUUUUGAGUAACAACAUUUCCUAUUUGGAAAGAACUUCAAAUUAAACUCUCAUCAAAGUCCAGCAGUAUAGCAGUUUGGGGUAUUUUUUUUCUCUUUUUGUGUUCUCUACAGCGAAGUUUCAGCCUACAAUGCUAACACUGGUAGUUUAGCUGCCCAUACUGUGUUUUGUUCCUAACUUCUUUUCAUUAACAUACUCUUUGCAUUAUGUUUCAAAGUCUAACUAAAUAUUUUCAGUGCUAGGAAAAGUGUAACUAGGUUGUACUGAUCAUGACUUAUUUUUGCACUGUUAAAAAACAGUAAGUGAUUUAAAAAUACAUGCUAGUUUGUGAAAGAUUGAAUAAAUCUCCAUUUUAAUACUACA